rnacentral:lncRNA from 1 species
UAGACAGGGCUUCAGUGCCUCUCUGGAGGCCAAGUGCAUGGGGAGGCUGGGACUGACUCAGCCUAGAAGAGGGGACCAGCAUGACUGGACAGGUGGUGUGGCACCCCAGAGACUGGGGACAUAUUCCACUGUGGGUGUUGCUCCUGCUGACCUGAUGACCAUCACAGAAGGACAAUGAUUUGCAGCCUUCUCAAGCAGGCUACACGUGGGAGAGUAUUUUCCCUCCCAGUCAUUCUGAGUCUAUGCACACACUCAUUGAUGAUCCUGAAGGGCAGUGUGGUAGAGCAGAAAGAAUGUGGACUGUCAAAGGACAAAGGCCUCAUGAAAGUAUCUAAAGGUCAACUGACCAAGGUUAGAAGGUAUAACUUAACCUGAUCUAAACCCAGGGUUCAUGGAGGGGCUCCUAGGGCUACAUGGGCACCUUGAGUGUGAGAGUCAUUCAGUCAUGUCGGACUUUUUACAACCCCAUGGCGUAUACAGUCCAUGGAAUUCUCCAGGCCAGAAUACUGAGUGGGUAGCCAUUCCCUUCUCCAGGGGAUCUUCCCAACCCAGGGAUCGAACCUAGGUCUCCCUCAUUGCAGGUAGAUUCUUUACCAGCUGACCCACCAGGGAAGCCCCCCAACUGUGUGCAAAUUAUCUCUAUAUGUGCAUUUUUUCCUAGUAACAGCAAUUCUAUUCACAAAGAUGGGAAAGUCUGAAAUGGACAUAAUUGACAAUGGAUUUUGUAAGAUUAUACUAUUCUACAGAAUAGUACAUAUAAUGGUUGGAGGAAAUAAAAUUUAUAAUAAAAAUA